GGUAGGUAUACAACAACGGUGGAAUAUGCCCUUCCUCUUGAAUGGUUAGUGAUUGUUAUGGAAUACAUAUUUAAUAUAUGGAAUCUCUAUAGAUUAAGGCAGUCUUAGGGAUUUAACGUGUUUCUUAUUCGAAGUCUUCUAGCAUGUAUUUAUAGGCUUGGUAUUCUCUUUUCUAUACGACAGCACAUUUAGAAA